rnacentral:rRNA from 1 species
GACGAACGCUGGCGGCGUGCCUAAUACAUGCAAGUCGAACGCAGUGGGGACGGGUGAGUAACACGUGGGUAACCUCCCCCUCAGAGGGGAUAACACUUUGGAACAGGUUCUAUACCGCUACUGAUGGAUGGACCCGCGGUGCAUUGGCUAGUGGGUGAGGUAACGGCUCACCAAGGCCACGAUGCAUAGCCGACCUGAGAGGGGGAUCGGCAACACUGGGAUUGAGACACGGCCCAGACUCCUACGGGAGGCAGCAGUAGGGAAUCUUCGGCAAUGGAAGAAAGUCUGACCGAGCAACGCAGCGUGAGUGAAGAAGGUUUUCGGAUCGUAAAAUUCGGGUGUGAGAGAAGCGGUAUCUAACCAGAAAGCCACGGCUAACUACGUGCCAGCCGCCGCGGUAAUAC